UGCCAUCAGCCGCGGUAAGACGGAGGGGUCGAGCGUUGUUCGGAAUGACUGGGCGUAAAGGGUGCGUAGGCUGUAAUUUAAGUGAGUAGUGAAAUCUUCAGGCUCAACCUGAAAACUGCUAUUCAUACUAUCUUACUAGAGUUUGAGAGAGGAAGUAGGAAUUUCUGGAGUAGAGGUGAAAUUCGUAGAUCCCAGAAGGAACACCAAAGGCGAAGGCAAGCUUCUGGCUCAAUACUGACGCUGAGGCACGAAAGCGUGGGGAGCAAACAGGAUUAGAUA
rnacentral:rRNA from 1 species